UACCAGACCCAGCUGGGAAGGGGUCAGGUGUGUUCCAGAAAGGUCUGAGAGAGCUGCUGGAAGGGGAGCUCUAGGAGCGAGCCAACGGCCCCACCUGACUGGAAGGAGGAAGAUCAGCACAAACCAAAUCAAUGAAGGAAAGACGACACACCAAGCGACAGAGAAAGUCUGGAGUGGCGAUUAUGAGCUUCCCAGAAGCAGACUUCAUCCUGAAAGGCAGCUCGCAGGUCAGCGUCCCAGUGGCAGUCACCAUCCCCGUGCGCUCUUGGGCUACUCCGCCCACAUCUUGCUAGCAGACCCACCCGGGCAGCAGGAGGUGAAGUCAAGAUUUCCAUUUGGCAGCGGACUGUCGUGUGGCUUGUGGGAUGGGGUGAUGGAGCUGGUAUUCUCUGGGCUUUUGAAUGGGCAGCCCCAUGCACUGUCUCAGUGAGGCUUUAAUGGAAUCUUUUCUCCCCCUCCCAUCCACUUAAACAGCAUGACCAUGGGAUGAUUUCUGUUCCCUUCCUGCUGACAUAAGCCUCCAAGUCCCAACCUCUCAGGCAUGUGGAGGGUGCAUGAUACAUUGCAAGAGUUUUCUGAUAUUAGCGUGAGGUUUGCUGGGGUUGGGAUGGGGCGAAGGGAUAUUGCUGAAUAUAUCACAUCUGUGUUUUAUACGGGUGGAAAAUAUCAGAGCUAUAUUGUUGCAACAAGCACCUGAGUCACCUUUA